rnacentral:hammerhead_ribozyme from 1 species
CAGAUGACGAGUCCCAAACAGGACGAAAUGCGCAUCCUG